rnacentral:sRNA from 1 species
UAGCUUUGAGAAGCAAGAAGAAGGUUGGUUAGUGUUUUGGAGUCGAAUAUGACUUGUUGUCAUGUGUAUGUUUGAGUAUAACAACUUAAACAACACUUCGAUCUUAAAAUCCUAAGUAGUGUAUCCUUGUUAGAAGACACAAAUCCAAAGACUCAUAUGGACUUUGACUACACCAUGAAAGCUUUGAGAAGCAAGAAGAAGGUUGGUUUGUCUUUUGGAGUCGAAUAUGACUUGAUGUCAUGUGUAUGAUUGAGUAUAAGAACUUAAUCCGCAACCCGAUCUUAUAAGCCUAAGC